AGGUUACUGCUAUCGAGGUUCGACUAAGCCAUGCGAGUCGAAUGUAGCAAUACAUGGCGAACUGCUCAGUAACACGUGGACAACCUGCCCUUAGGACGGGGAUAAACCCGGGAAACUGGGUAUAAUACCCGAUAGGUCUCGAUUGCUGGAAUGCAUCGAGAUUUAAAGCUCCGGCGCCUAAGGAUGGGUCUGCGGCCUAUCAGGUAGUAGUGGGUGUAGCGUACCUACUAGCCUACGACGGGUACGGGUUGUGAGAGCAAGAGCCCGGAGAUGGAUUCUGAGACACGAAUCCAGGCCCUACGGGGUGCAGCAGGCGCGAAAACUUUACAAUGCUGGCAACAGCGAUAAGGGAACCUCGAGUGCCAGGUUACAAAUCUGGCUGUCGAGAUGCCUAAAAAGCAUUUCAUAGCAAGGGCCGGGCAAGACCGGUGCCAGCCGCCGCGGUAAUACCGGCGGCUCGAGUGGUAACCGUUAUUAUUGGGUCUAAAGGGUCUGUAGCCGGCCGGAUAAGUCUCUUGAGAAAUCUGGCAGCUUAACUGUCAGGCUUUCAGGAUAUACUGUCUGGCUCGAGGCCGGGAGAGGUGAGAGGUACUUCAGGGGUAGGGGUGAAAUCUUGUAAUCCUUGAAGGACCACCAGUGGCGAAGGCGUCUCACCAGAACGGACCUGACGGCAAGGGACGAAAGCUAGGGGCACGAACCGGAUUAGAUACCCGGGUAGUCCUAGCCGUAAACGAUACUCGCUAGGUGUCGGCCACGGUGCGACCGUUGUCGGUGCCGUAGGGAAGCCGUGAAGCGAGCCACCUGGGAAGUACGGCCGCAAGGCUGAAACUUAAAGGAAUCGGCGGGGGAGCACCACAACGGGUGGAGCUUGCGGUUUAAUUGGAUUCAACGCCGG
rnacentral:rRNA from 1 species